UACCAGCACCCCGAGCGGUCGGGACGUUUAUUGGGCCUAAAGCAUCCGUAGCCGGUUCUACAAGUCUUCCGUUAAAUCCAACUGCUUAACAGGUGGGCUGCGGAAGAUACUAUAGAGCUAGGAGGCGGGAGAGGCAAGCGGUACUCGAUGGGUAGGGGUAAAAUCCGUUGAUCCAUUGAAGACCACCAGUGGCGAAGGCGGCUUGCCAGAACGCGCUCGACGGUGAGGGAUGAAAGCUGGGGGAGCAAACCGG
rnacentral:rRNA from 1 species